UCUUUAUAAUAAAUUUAUUUUAAUAAAUUAUCUUAUUUAAAUUAAUAGUUUUAAUAUUAAAUUAUUUUAUUGGGGUGAUACAAAAAUUUAAUUAACUUUUUUAUUAAAAUUUCUUAAAUUAAAGAUUUAUAAAAAUAUGAUCUAUUAUUAAUAAUUCAGAGAAUAAGA
rnacentral:rRNA from 1 species